rnacentral:rRNA from 1 species
AGUGAACGCUGGCGGUAGGCCUAACACAUGCAAGUCGAACGGCAGCACAGUAAGAGCUUGCUCUUACGGGUGGCGAGUGGCGGACGGGUGAGGAAUACAUCGGAAUCUACUUUUUCGUGGGGGAUAACGUAGGGAAACUUACGCUAAUACCGCAUACGACCUACGGGUGAAAGCAGGGGAUCUUCGGACCUUGCGCGAUUGAAUGAGCCGAUGUCGGAUUAGCUAGUUGGCGGGGUAAAGGCCCACCAAGGCGACGAUCCGUAGCCGGUGUGAGAGGAUGAUCGGCCACACUGGAACGGAGCCACGGUCCAGACGCCUACGGGAGGCAGCAGUGUGGAAUAUUGGACAAUGGGCGCAAGCCUGAUCCAGCCAUACCGCGUGGGUGAAGAAGGCCUUCGGGUUGUAAAGACCUUUUGUUGGGAAAGAAAAGCAGCAGGUUAAUACCCCGCUGUUCUGACGGUACCCAAAGAAUAAGCACCGGCUAACUUCGUG